rnacentral:rRNA from 1 species
UCCGCGAGGGUUUGCCUCAGUAGCGGCGAGUGAAGCGGCAAGAGCUCAGAUUUGAAAUCGUGCUUUGCGGCACGAGUUGUAGAUUGCAGGUUGGAGUCUGUGUGGAAGGCGGUGUCCAAGUCCCUUGGAACAGGGCGCCCAGGAGGGUGAGAGCCCCGUGGGAUGCCGGCGGAAGCAGUGAGGCCCUUCUGACGAGUCGAGUUGUUUGGGAAU